rnacentral:rRNA from 1 species
CCUACGGGAGGCAGCAGUGGGGAAUAUUGGACAAUGGGCGAAAGCCUGAUCCAGCAAUGCCGCGUGAGUGAUGAAGGCCUUAGGGUUGUAAAGCUCUUUUACCAGGGAUGAUAAUGACAGUACCUGGAGAAUAAGCUCCGGCUAACUCCGUGCCAGCAGCCGCGGUAAUACGGAGGGAGCUAGCGUUGUUCGGAAUUACUGGGCGUAAAGCGUGCGUAGGCGGUGACUCAAGUCAGAGGUGAAAGCCUGGAGCUCAACUCCAGAACUGCCUUUGAAACUAGGUCGCUAGAAUCACGGAGAGGUGAGUGGAAUUCCGAGUGUAGAGGUGAAAUUCGUAGAUAUUCGGAAGAACACCAGUGGCGAAGGCGGCUCACUGGACGUGUAUUGACGCUGAGGCACGAAAGCGUGGGGAGCAAACAGGAUUAGAUACCCUGGUAGUCCACGCCGUAAACGAUGAUAACUAGCUGCCAGGGCUCUUAGAGCUUUGGUGGCGCAGCUAACGCAUUAAGUUAUCCGCCUGGGGAGUACGGUCGCAAGAUUAAAACCGUCAAAGUAGUAGUAGGCGUGAGACGUGCGACGGACGACACGACGGGAGGAGG